GGCAACGUGGCUGAGUGGUUAAAGCGUAUGACUAGAAAUCAUAUCCCUUCGGGGUCACAGGUUCGAGUCCUGUCGUUGUCG
rfam:Fungal sp. No.14919 DNA, contig: Contig0020.